rnacentral:lncRNA from 1 species
UUUUUUUUAGAAAGCUGCAUCAUUUGAUUGUAAACAUUUUCAGUGCACCAAUAAUGAUAAAAAAACAGUUAAAAGGAUGUUCGAAGAGUUGCUCGAUCAAAUUCUAGAAAUGAACGGUUUGCUACCAAACAUAAAUCAGGAAGAAAUACCAAAAUCUUGCAAAUGCUGUUAAAAAUGACUGUAGAAAAUAUUAAUAGUGUUAACGUUCGUUUUUCAGUUGGAUUUCAUGUUAUGUUUGUUUUGAUAUAACAGUUUUUACUCAUUUUAAAAAGUUUUUAUUGUUAAUAUUUUAAUUUUUAUAUAAAAAUUUUUGAAUUAAAUGUAUAUAAUAAAAAAUUUUAAAAGUAUAUUGUUAUUGGUUGUUAUGGUUUCAUAUUAAAUUGUAAAAGACGGUAAUAACCAGGGUUGGGAUCAAAUACA